AAAACAUGUCUUUUUGAUAAAAAUUUAAAGUCAGGUCUGCUCACUGAAUAAUUUUAAAGAGCCGCAGUAUACUGACUGUGCAAAGGUAGCAUAAUCAAUAGUUUUUUAAUUGAAAACUGGAAUGAAAGAUUAGACGAAAAAUUAAUUUUCUUUAUUUUAGUAAAUUUAAUUUUAAAUUUAAGUGAAAAUGCUUAAAUAAAAUUAAAAGACGAGAAGACCCUAUAGAUUUUUAUUAUUGAAAUAAAUUUAUAAAUGUGAUUUAAUAAAAUAAUUUAAUUGGGGUGAUUUUAUAAUAUAAAUAACUUAAUUUCCUAAAACCAUAAAUAAUUGAAUUUUUGAUCUAAAAUUUUUAAAGAAAAGAUUAAAUUACCUUAGGGAUAACAGCGUAAUUUUAUUUAAGAGUUCAUAUCUAUAAUAAAGUUUGCGACCUCGAUGUUGAAUUAAGAUAAUAUAUUGGAGUAGAAAUUAAUAUAAUUAGUCUGUUCGACUAUUAAAUUCUUACGUGAUCUG
rnacentral:rRNA from 1 species